rnacentral:lncRNA from 15 species
AUGAGCGACAAGUUUCACGGUGAGCUGACUCAGAGGGAGCAGGAGUUGCUGAAAAUGCGGAGAGACAGUGACACUAAGGCCGCCGAACUUGCCAAGAUGGAGAAGAUGCUGCAGCAGACCAAGAACCUGUUGGACAAGAAGAAAGAGUCUAGUUCAGACAGCAUGGGCUACCAGGAGAACAUGGUGGAGGACCUGGAGGAAAAGGUGCGCUCCAGCAGACGGUACAGGAGGAACUCCCUCCAUCACACACAGAUGCUGGAGAGCCAGAUGAAGACUGUGAAAGGUGAGCUGGUGGGCACGCUGGACCACCUUCAGGAGCUGAGGAACGUCUUGCGCCGUUCCCAGCAGAAAGCCGAAGAGCGCAAAGCCACGAUGGAGAAGCUGGCGGCGGGGCUCAGGUGAAGCAUCUGUCUGCGGCUGCUUUCGAUUCGGAUCAAGGUUUUGACCUUCCUGAUGUCUUACAUCCUGCCAACGAAGAUGUCUAGAGUUUACAUUUAACAAGACCACACCCAUAAGCUGGUUAAAUGGAAGAAGAAAGAGACUUUGAGCUACUGUGCUGGUCCUCACUCUGUUGUUUGGCAUCCAAAGACUAAAUUUAAAAGACGAUCCAUGGUAUUUCACAACCUGCCAAAAAAUAUUUUUUCCCUCUAUUCCCCAUUUUUUUUGUCCUGCUCUUAUUAAUCUCAUAUUCUGAAGGCUUGAACAUGCUUCUCUGUGUCUUCUGGCAACAAUCUGAAGAUGAUUAUAUAAAUGCUGCUGCUUAUACAAGUGGGAAAGCCACAGAACAGUUUUGAAACUAUAUUAAAUCACACAUACAGUGUUCCAUAUUUCUGCAAUGUUCUUUUACCUUUUCAGUUCUGAAAUAUGGAGAUUGCACUUGUAUGAGAUCUCAGCGGCAAUAAUGAACAUUAUUCAUCCCCUAAAAAUAUAUCCUGAGCAGCCCUCAUAAAGGUUUUUUUUUCUGGUUUGCGUAUGCUCAUCCAUUUAUGCGUGAAAAUAUGAUUGAUGACAUUCUUCAUCUGCACCCCUGGGAAUCACCUCCAUGUCAUUGCUUCAUGAACCCAGUUUGAAUGAAUUCAACCCUGCCAAUAAUAACAUGUAAGUUGUGUUUUCUAAUGGGAAUCUGUAAGUUAAUCAAGUAAUUAGUUAAUUGUGAUGUUAUUAAAUUCUUACAAACAAUGUAAUCUUGUGCUGUAUGAAUUGUUUCUUGCACAGUAAUAGCAACAUUUGUUAAUUUUAUUUUUGUAUCUUUGUAGGACUGGUGUACAGGAAAAACACAGUUGCACCAAUUUUGUCUUUUAAAUGAAGCGCACAUAUAAAUCAUUCUAAAAUGUGAACAUUAAAUUGUGUAUUACAGACCACAGGCUGAAGCGUUUUUUGCAGAGAGAAAAUGCAGAUGCAUGCCCUUUUUUUCUCUUUUUUGCAAUGUUUUUUCACCCAGAUGACAGAAAAGUGUCUUUUAGUGUUUGGACUCCCUCUGGGAUCAAUAGCCUGUUGUGUGUUUCCUGCGGUGAGUCAUCUGAAAGCUGUAUUUGUGCCUUCCCUGUGGCUGAGAUGUGAUCACACCUAAUUUAGCACAGCUUGAUUCACACCAUGUCACAUGCUGCGAGGCUGACCCUGACCUAGACAUUAGAUGGUAAUUAUAACACCAUUACAGUUAUAUAGACUCUUCAUUAUGUGCAGCUGCUCUGGCUUUUCCGGUCCCUGGAUUUCAACAAGGUUGUCUGCUUUCUUAUCAAGUCCAC